CCUACGGGCGGCAGCAGUGGGGAAUAUUGCACAAUGGGGGAAACCCUGAUGCAGCAACGCCGCGUGAGUGAUGACGGCCUUCGGGUUGUAAAGCUCUGUCUUCAGGGACGAUAAUGACGGUACCUGACUAAGAAGCCCCGGCUAACUACGUGCCAGCAGCCGCGGUAAUACGUAGGGGGCAAGCGUUAUCCGGAUUUACUGGGUGUAAAGGGAGCGUAGGUGGCAGGGCAAGUCAGAUGUGAAAACCCGGGGCUCAACCCCGGGAGUGCAUUUGAAACUGUCCAGCUGGAGUGCAGGAGAGGUAAGCGGAAUUCCUAGUGUAGCGGUGAAAUGCAUAGAUAUUAGGAGGAACACCAGUGGCGAAGGCGGCUUACUGGACUGUAACUGACACUGAGGCUCGAAAGCGUGGGGAGCAAACAGGAUUAGAUACCCUUGUAGUC
rnacentral:rRNA from 1 species